UAGCUUACAAAAAGCACGGCACUGAAGAUGCCGAGACGGCUGCUUCACACA
rnacentral:tRNA from 1 species